rnacentral:rRNA from 1 species
GACGAACGCUGGCGGCGUGCUUAACACAUGCAAGUCGAACGGAAAGGCCCUGCUUUUGUGGGGUUCUCGAGUGGCGAACGGGUGAGUAACACGUGAGUAACCUGCCCUUGACUUUGGGAUAACUUCAGGAAACUGGGGCUAAUACCGGAUAGGAUCUCCUGCUGCAUGGUGGGGGUUGGAAAGUUUCGGCGGUUGGGGAUGGACUCGCGGCUUAUCAGCUUGUUGGUGGGGUAGUGGCUUACCAAGGCUUUGACGGGUAGCCGGCCUGAGAGGGUGACCGGCCACAUUGGGACUGAGAUACGGCCCAGACUGCUACGGGAGGCAGCAGUGGGGAAUAUUGCACAAUGGGCGGAAGCCUGAUGCAGCAACGCCGCGUGCGGGAUGACGGCCUUCGGGUUGUAAACCGCUUUCGCCUGUGACGAAGCGUGAGUGACGGUAAUGGGUAAAGAAGCACCGGCUAACUACGUG